GACGAACUCUGGCGGCGUGCUUAACACAUGCAAGUCGAACGGAGCACCCUUGACUGAGGUUUCGGCCAAAUGAUAGGAAUGCUUAGUGGCGGACUGGUGAGUAACGCGUGAGGAACCUGCCUUUCAGAGGGGGACAACAGUUGGAAACGACUGCUAAUACCGCAUGAUGCGUAACUGGGACAUCCCGGAUACGCCAAAGACUUUAUCGCUGAAAGAUGGCCUCGCGUCUGAUUAGAUAGUUGGCGGGGUAACGGCCCACCAAGUCGACGAUCAGUAGCCGGACUGAGAGGUUGACCGGCCACAUUGGGACUGAGAUACGGCCCAGACUCCUACGGGAGGCAGCAGUGGGGAAUAUUGGGCAAUGGGCGCAAGCCUGACCCAGCAACGCCGCGUGAAGGAAGAAGGCUUUCGGGUUGUAAACUUCUUUUAAGUGGGAAGAGUAGAAGACGGUACCACUUGAAUAAGCCACGGCUAACUACGUGCCAGCAGCCGCGGUAAUACGUAGGUGGCAAGCGUUGUCCGGAUUUACUGGGUGUAAAGGGCGUGCAGCCGGGCAUGCAAGUCAGAUGUGAAAUCUCAGGGCUUAACCCUGAAACUGCAUUUGAAACUGUAUGUCUUGAGUGCCGGAGAGGUAAUCGGAAUUCCUUGUGUAGCGGUGAAAUGCGUAGAUAUAAGGAAGAACACCAGUGGCGAAGGCGGAUUACUGGACGGUAACUGACGGUGAGGCGCGAAAGCGUGGGGAGCGAACAGGAUUAGAUACCCUGGUAGUCCACGCUGUAAA
rnacentral:rRNA from 1 species